CCUACGGGAGGCAGCAGUGGGGAAUAUUGGACAAUGGGGGAAACCCUGAUCCAGCAAUGCCGCGUGAGUGAUGAAGGCCUUAGGGUCGUAAAGCUCUUUUACCAGGGAUGAUAAUGACAGUACCUGGAGAAUAAGCUCCGGCUAACUCCGUGCCAGCAGCCGCGGUAAUACGGAGGGAGCUAGCGUUGUUCGGAAUUACUGGGCGUAAAGCGUGCGUAGGCGGUUAUUCAAGUCAGAGGUGAAAGCCCGGGGCUCAACCCCGGAACGGCCUUUGAAACUAGAUAACUAGAAUCUUGGAGAGGUCAGUGGAAUUCCGAGUGUAGAGGUGAAAUUCGUAGAUAUUCGGAAGAACACCAGUGGCGAAGGCGACUGACUGGACAAGUAUUGACGCUGAGGUACGAAAGCGUGGGGAGCAAACAGGAUUAGAUACCCUGGUAGUCCACGCCGUAAACGAUGAUAACUAGCUGUCCGGACACUUGGUGUUUGGGUGGCGCAGCUACGACAUUAAGUUAUCCGUCCGUCGGGUAGGUACGGUCGCGAAGAAUUAAACUACAAAGAAGUUAGUACGGCGUGAGACGUGCCGAACGGACGACGACGAGGGGAGGUAGG
rnacentral:rRNA from 1 species